CCUACGGGUGGCUGCAGUGAGGAAUAUUGGUCAAUGGGCGCUAGCCUGAACCAGCCAAGUAGCGUGAAGGAUGACUGCCCUCUGGGUUGUAAACUUCUUUUGCCGGGGAGCAAAGUGCCGCACGUGUGCGGUUUGGCGAUUACCCGGCGCACAAGCAUCGGCUAACUCCGUGCCAGCAGCCGCGGUAAUACGGAGGAUGCGAGCGUAAUCCGGAUUUAUUGGGUUAAACGGGUGCGUAGGGGGACGCUUAAGUCAGCGGUAAAAUUGCGGGGCUCAACCUCGUCGAGCCGUUGAAACUGGGUGGCUUGAGUGGGCGAGAGGUACGCGGAAUGCGUGGUGUAGCGGUGAAAUGCAUAGAUAUCACGAAGAACUCCGAUGGCGAAGGCAGCGUACCGGCG
rnacentral:rRNA from 1 species